GUCUCACUGAAUGUGUCGUUUGUGUCUCACUGAACGUGUCGUUUGCAUCUGCCUUCUUCCCAUCUUCUUUAUCUUUUACAACCUCCUCAUCUUCCUCUCAGACACUUAAGGACUCAUUCAUUAGGACUCAUGACUAACCGCAUUCCAUAACAUAUGUCUUCACUGACCCUGGAAGCAAUUGUACCUCAACCCACAGAAUUUGUGAAAACGAAACAUUGCAAAUGCACAUCUGAUGAACUAAGCAGUGAUUGUCUAAAGGCCAGCAUGUGCUACACCACCCAGCCCCUGGCUGUCUGACGUCCUUCGUGAACAUCGGACUGACCUCAGGGCAGCUGAGAGGAGAUGGCAGAAAUCUAAAGAUCCAGCAGAUCUAGAACAAGCUGCUGGAUGACAAUCAGUCAGGCUUCAAAAGUGGACACUCCACCAAGACUGCCCUGCUGUCAGAGUCACUGAGACAGGCGAAAGCUGAAUCCAGAUCAUUCGUCCUGAUUCUGCUGGACCUUUCUGCAGCCUUUGACACAGUCAGCCAUCAGAUCUUACUCUCUACCCUCUCCUCGCUGGGCAUCACAGGAACUGUGCUUGACUAGUUUAACUUCUAUCUCUCAGCCCAACGACACCACAGUGACUGCUUGAAUUUCUGCCUGCCUGGCAGACAUCUCGGCCUGGAUGAAGGAACACCACCUGCAACUCAACCCAGCCAAGACUGAACUCCUUGUCUUUCCAGCCAACCCUACUGUUGAACAAAUCAUCACCGUGCAGCUGGGUGCAACUACAGUAACGCCUUCCAAAUUGGUCAGAAAUCUAGGGGCCUCCCUGCAUGUGCAGUUAGACCCCUGCAAAUGAUCCAGAAUGCAGCAGCACGUCUGGUCUUUAAUCAACCAAAGAGAGCACAUGUUACACCACUCCUUGUCUCUCUCCACUGGCUGCUGGUUGAUGCACGUAUCAAAUUCAAGGCUCUGAUGCUGGCAUACAGAACAGUCACUGGGUCUGCUCCAGCAUACCUAAAAUAAUUGAUGCAGAGCUACGCGCCCACUAGAAGCCUGCGGUCGGCUAAGGAACGUCGGCUUGUUGUACCAACACAAAGAGGCACCAAAACACUUUCCCGGACUUUCAGCUUCAUCAUACCACAUUGGUGGAACGACCUUCCCAACUCCAUCCGUGAAGCUGACUCACUCUCUGUCUUCAAAAAACGACUAAAAACACAUCUUUUCCAUGAGCACUUAACCAGUCAUUUAAAAAAAAAUAAAAAAUUCCUGUAGCACUUUAUUCUGUUUUGAAUACUAUUCUGAUGCUAGUGAAACUUUGUAAUAUGGCACUUUUCAUACCGCUGUCUCCUUAAGAUGAUUUGCUUAUGUUUUCCUCUUUUGUAAGUCACUUUGGAUAAAAGCGUCUGCCAAAUGAAUAAAUGUAAAUGUAAAAUGUAAAAUGUAAAUGUUGACUGGCUAGAUCACAGAUCAAACUGCUAAUCAAAACAGGAGGAAGAGGAGAAGGGGAUAGUUUGUUUUCA